AAGAAAUAUAAACAAUUUAAUGCUUAAUAAAAAGUUAGAAGCUUUAAUAAUAUUUCU
rnacentral:tRNA from 1 species